GUAGGGGGCAAGCGUUGUCCGGAAUCAUUGGGCGUAAAGAGCGCGUAGGCGGCCCUGUAAGUCCGCUGUGAAAGUCAAGGGCUCAACCCUUGAAUGCCGGUGGAUACUGCAGGGCUAGAGUCCGGAAGAGGCGAGUGGAAUUCCUGGUGUAGCGGUGAAAUGCGCAGAUAUCAGGAGGAACACCGAUGGCGAAGGCAGCUCGCUGGGACGGUACUGACGCUGAGGCGCGAAAGCGUGGGGAGCAAACAGGAUUAGAUACCCUGGUAGUCCACGCCGUAAACGAUGGGCACUAGGUGUUGGUGGUAUCAACCCCGCCAGUGCCGAAGCUAACGCAUUAAGUGUCCCGCCUGGGGAGUACGGCCGCAAGGCUA
rnacentral:rRNA from 1 species